AAGCUGUCUUUAGACAACCAAAGCAAGGCAUGUAUUCUCCACGACGCCUUUCGGACACAUGACAUCGCUGGGGAAGAGUUGGUUACUGGCCUGCCUACGGUGGGGCUGUCCUCAAUCAGAGUCCAACUGCAUGUUGUCAGGGAGUACAGCGCCACUUGGAACCUCUGUGGCUUCCUGGGUCUGUCCCAGCUGAAAGUGUGACUUUAGAAGUAACCUGCAAGCAUAUCUGGUCUGUGGAGCCACAUUGCCAGCCAUCAUCUGAAUCCCCCUGCGGGGAAGAUGGGAGCACAGCUUGUAAGUCCCAAACUGACGAGGUGACUGCCACUGGGAUGUGACGCUCAGUUUCUCCUUUUC